AUGGGAACGCGAAGAACCUUACCUACUCUUGACAUCCAGAGAACUUAGCAGAGAUGCUUUGGUGCCUUCGGGAACUCUGAGACAGGUGCUGCAUGGCUGCCGUCAGCUCGUGUUGUGAAAUGUUGGGUUAAGUCCCGCAACGAGCGCAACCCUUAUCCUUUGUUGCCAGCGGUUCGGCCGGGAACUCAAAGGAGACUGCCAGUGAUAAACUGGAGGAAGGUGGGGAUGACGUCAAGUCAUCAUGGCCCUUACGAGUAGGGCUACACACGUGCUACAAUGGCGCAUACAAAGAGAAGCGACCUCGCGAGAGCAAGCGGACCUCAUAAAGUGCGUCGUAGUCCGGAUUGGAGUCUGCAACUCGACUCCAUGAAGUCGGAAUCGCUAGUAAUCGUAGAUCAGAAUGCUACGGUGAAUACGUUCCCGGGUCUUGUACACACCG
rnacentral:rRNA from 1 species